GACGAACGCUGGCGGCGUGCCUAAUACAUGCAAGUAGAACGCACAGUUUAUACCUUAGCUUGCUACACCAUAGACUGUGAGUUGCGAACGGGUGAGUAACGCGUAGGUAACCUGCCUGGUAGCGGGGGAUAACUAUUGGAAACGAUAGCUAAUACCGCAUAAUAUUGAUUAUUGCAUGAUAAUUGAUUGAAAGAUGCUAUUGCAUCACUACCAGAUGGACCUGCGUUGUAUUAGCUAGUAGGGGAGGUAACGGCUCACCUAGGCGACGAUACAUAGCCGACCUGAGAGGGUGGUCGGCCACACUGGGACUGAGACACGGCCCAGACGCCUACGGGAGGCAGCAGUAGGGAAUCUUCGGGAAUGGACGAAAGUCUGACCGAGCAACGCCGCGUGAGUGAAGAAGGUUUUCGGAUCGUAAAGCUCGGUUGUAAGAGAAGAACGGGUGUGAGAGUGGAAAGUUCACACUGUGACGGUAUCUUACCAGAAAGGGACGGCUAACUACGUG
rnacentral:rRNA from 1 species